rnacentral:lncRNA from 1 species
AUUUUAGACUAUGCAUACAGACAUACAGAUAAAGCUAUUGACUGUUAUGUUAGUUUACAACCUGUUAACUCUUAACUCAUGUGUAGACAUGAUUAACCUGUUAACUCACCUGUGUAGACAUAAUUAACCUGUGAACUCACCUGUGUAGACAUGAUUAGCUACAUUGAUCUGACUAGUGUGCCACAAGAUAGAACUAUAGUCAGUGGUGCAGUGGAGGUAUACUCAGGAAUCCCCCAGAUUCCCACUUAUUUCCCAGUGGGCAUUGCGUUUACACACCUCUUAAUCCCCAGGAUGCGUAUCAAAGUAGUGUAGUGGAGGUAUACGCUGCAUCAAUGAAUAAGCCUGAACAGAUCAGAAUGUUUAGCAUUACAAUGUAGAUAAACUGUUGUUUCUUCACAUUUUAAGUGCAGCAAUGUGCACAUGGCGGUAGACCUAGAACAGUGCAAAUGUUACAACAUGUCAUUUGUGGGGAAAAAAGACUGUUCUAAAAUGCACACUGUACAUGUGAAUGGUUUCAUGUUACAGAUGGAAAUAUCCAUUAGACUGUAGACUGCUGCUGGCCCGUUCGUGGUAAGGAACCACAUUACAGAUGGAAAUAUCCAUUAGACUGUAGACUGCUGCUGGCCCGUUCGUGGUAAGGAACCACAUUACAGAUGGAAAUAUCCAUUAGACUGCAGACUGCUGCUGGCCCGUUCGUGGUAAGGAACCACAUUACAGAUGGAAAUAUCCAUUAGACUGCAGACUGCUGCUGGCCCGUUCGUGGUAAGGAACCGCAUUACAGAUGGAAAUAUCCAUUAGACUGCUGCUGGCCCGUUCGUGGUAAGGAACCACAUUACAGAUGGAAAUAUCCAUUAGACUGCUGCUGGCCCGUUCGUGGUAAGGAACCACAUUACAGAUGGAAAUAUCCAAUAGAAAUGUAGAAAAAUGGGAGAUCUAAAGAUACAACAACUAUCAUGGGUUGUUAGGGGAGAUCUAAAGAUACAACAACUAUCAUGGGUUGUUAGGGGAGAUCUAAAGAUACAACAACUAUCAUGGGUUGUUAGGGGAGAUCUAAACUAUCAUGGGUUGUCUUCCAGAACACCAUUAGGUGCUCACUGCUUGUCUUCCAGAACACCAUUAGGUGCUCACUGCUUGUCUUCCAGAACACCAUUAGGUGCUCACUGCUUGUCUUCCAGAACACCAUUAGGUGCUCACUGCUUGUCUUCCAGAACACCAUUAGGUGCUCACUGCCUGUCUUCCAGAACACCAUUAGGUGCUCACUGCUUGUCUUCCAGAACACCAUUAGGUGCUCACUGCUUGUCUUCCAGACACCAUUAG